rnacentral:ncRNA from 1 species
UAUCUGGUUGAUCCUGCCUGAACUGAUGUGUUCAUUUCAAAGAUUAAGCCAUGCAUGUAUAAGUCUAAUCGUUUUUACGAGAAACCGCGAACGGCUCAUUACAAUGGCCAUGAUUUACUUGAUCUU